UACGGAGGGUGCAGGCGUUAUCCGGAUUCACUGGGUUUAAAGGGAGCGUAGGUGGGCUGGUAAGUCAGUGGUGAAAUCUCCGAGCUUAACUUGGAAACUGCCAUUGAUACUAUUAGUCUUGAAUAUUGUGGAGGUCAGCGGAAUAUGUCAUGUAGCGGUGAAAUGCUUAGAGAUGACAUAGAACACCAAUUGCGAAGGCAGCUGGCUACGCAUAUAUUGACACUGAGGCUCGAAAGCGUGGGGAUCAAACAGG
rnacentral:rRNA from 1 species